GGGUCAGCAGGUCGGUCGUGCCACUGGUAUGAACUGGCCUCGCUGAUCCCUCCCUCUUGACGAACUGUGAUGCCAUUAAUUUGGUGUCGCAGGGAAUCAGGACUGUUACUUUGAAAAAAUUAGAGUGUUUAAAGCAGGCUCACGCUUGAAUACAUUAGCAUGGAAUAAUGAAAUAGGACGUUUGAUCCUAUUUUGUUGGUUUCUAGGAUUGACGUAAUGAUUAAUAGGGAUAGUUGGGGGCAUUAGUAUUCAAUUGUCAGAGGUGAAAUUCUUGGAUUUAUUGAAGACUAACUACUGCGAAAGCAUUUGCCAAGGAUGUUUUCAUUAAUCAAGAACGAAAGUUAGGGGAUCGAAGACGAUCAGAUACCGUCGUAGUCUUAACCAUAAACUAUGCCGACUAGGGAUCGGAUGAUGUUAAUUUUUUAAUGACUCAUUCGGCGCCUUACGGGAAACCAAAGUGUUUGGGUUCCGGGGGGAGUAUGGUCGCAAGGCUGAAACUUAAAGGAAUUGACGGAAGGGCACCACCAGGGGUGGAGCCUGCGGCUUAAUUUGACUCAACACGGGGAAACUCACCAGGUCCAGACAUAGUAAGGAUUGACAGAUUGAGAGC
rnacentral:rRNA from 1 species